rnacentral:rRNA from 1 species
AGUGAACGCUGGCGGUAGGCCUAACACAUGCAAGUCGAACGGCAGCACAGUAAGAGCUUGCUCUUACGGGUGGCGAGUGGCGGACGGGUGAGGAAUACAUCGGAAUCUACUUUUUCGUGGGGGAUAACGUAGGGAAACUUACGCUAAUACCGCAUACGACCUACGGGUGAAAGCAGGGGAUCUUCGGACCUUGCGCGAUUGAAUGAGACGAUGUCGGAUUAGCUAGUUGGCGGGGUAAAGGCCCACCAAGGCGACGAUCCGUAGCUGGUCUGAGAGGAUGAUCAGCCACACUGGAACUGAGACACGGUCCAGACUCCUACGGGAGGCAGCAGUGGGGAAUAUUGGACAAUGGGCGCAAGCCUGAUCCAGCCAUACCGCGUGGGUGAAGAAGGCCUUCGGGUUGUAAAGCCCUUUUGUUGGGAAAGAAAAGCAGCAGGUUAAUACCCCGCUGUUCUGACGGUACCCAAAGAAUAAGCACCGGCUAACUUCGUG